UAUAUUGCACGCCUGCGGGGGAUGAGAAGCCCCGACCGGGGUUCGACUGCUGGCGCAGCCAGCUGGACAGACCGGGAGCAUCGCGAACGGGCUGCCCCGAAGGGGCGAGCAAAGCGAGUCAAUCCCCCCCUCACCGCCA
rnacentral:sRNA from 2 species